rfam:Ictidomys tridecemlineatus contig076825, whole genome shotgun sequence.
UGGGCUGUAGCUCAGUGGUAGAGGGCUUGCCUAGCAUGCAUGAGGUCUUGGGUUUGAUGCCCCAGCACCACAC